UGUCCGUUAAUUACGGACGCUUCUUUGGAACACUUAACUGGAUGUCAGAACCUGGAAAGGAUUGAACUCUACGACUGUCAACUCAUCACUAAAGCCGCGAUUCGAAGAUUACGAACCAGGCUUCCCAAUAUCAAAGUUCACGCCUACUUUGCACCCGUGACUCCGCCCCCUGCUGUGGGUAGCGGUAGACAGCGCUAUUGUAAGUGCUGUGUCAUCCUUUGAUUGUAGCCAUGGGAACAAACUGUCAUUUUAUCCAUUGAUGGGGGAGCAAGCACCCAGUUUGUGUGAUAUGAGUGUAUUGUCAUUCCCUGUGUUGUGUGAAUCUCUCCACGGAACCCACACAGCAACCACUAGAGGUCAGCACCAGCCUCUCUGACCAAUCACAUCCACUGGAUGGUUGCCAUGGAAACUUUCUGACUUGAGGAUAAAUUUGGCCUUAUUAAGCAGAUCAGCAAAUGUGUUUGUCUCUAACCAACUAAAAAAAACACUUGAUUAUCAUAUUAAAUGUUACCAACACUCUAAUAAAUCACCUCUACAAAUAGGGGCAGAUCUUAUCCAAUUGCAAAGAAAAAUAUCUCUGUUUCUCUUUACUUUCUCUCUCCUCCCUCUCUCUCUUGCUACAGGUAAUUAUGAUAUUUAUAAGAUGUGUAUUAUUUAGCAUUGUGAUAUGUAGAGUUGUUUGAUACAAUUGACUUUAGUGUGGUCCCAUUAUAUGGCCCACUUUAAGUUACCCUAUACCUGUGGUGGCAUUGCCUAGCAACAUCCCAGUUAACAUCAUGUAUGACAGUGGUAAAAGUGAUUUGGACAGACUCAUUUGUUGAAUACUUUUUUUGUUUUUGACUGAUUAUUUAUUUAAGGGGUUUUUUUUUCAAGUAUAAAUGAAAGCCAGUCACUAGAGGUGUGUUUGUUGUACAAUUGUUUUUGUAAUAUCAGAAGACUUGGCAUGGCUAGGAUAUUUAUAACCACUCUGUGUGUGCUAUAGUAUUUUUCUAUUCAGAACAGUUUGGUGUUUAUGAAGCACCUUCUCCAAUUACAGUGUGUUAACAUGGUCAUUUGGAUCAGUGUUUAAGUGUGUGUUAGCAUGUACUCAUGCGGUGAAAACAGAUCAUGCCUGAAACAAAAUGUUCUUAUUUGCUACCGAGGAGUCACCUAGAUAAAUUGUUUAUUUCCAUGUUCUACUUAUCUCACUAACAGCCAUUUCCAGUACCUGUAAUAAUGCUGAUCACUUAGGCGAUUGUUUUGAAGAAAAAUCUCCAAAAUAAGCUUUAUGGGUCAGGAUUGACCUGUCUCCUUAACUCUGUCAUAAAACAAUGUGACUUGACGCUUGCUGCUCCAUUUCUCUCAGUGUGUAACACGAGUGAGGAGUUACCUCCCUUUCUAGACCACUAGCAUUUAUAACAUUUCAACAAAUCUUAUAAUGUCAAGAAAAUCUGUAUAAACCCUGUAUCCUAUACCAUUGGAUGUCAGCUGACCUACAUCUGUAGAAGGUCAUCACAAGUUUACAUGCUUCAGUGUUUUCCCAGUGUCUGCAAACUGAACAUGUCUGCUCUGAUCACAGUUAAACAUGACAUCACUGAACACAAUGUAAGGUCUAUGGGAUCAAUCGCCUGGGACAUAGAUAUCAUUAAGUCAGCACCAUCCUCAGUCACUGAGGUAGACUGCAAUAUUUCAGCUUCAGUAAAAUGUCACCCAUAAGCCUGGAUCAGCUUGUUCAAAUAUCCCAUGCUUUGUAGGAUACUAAGCAAUCAGUGAUAUCUGUGCCGUUCUUUUUACUGUAGUAGAAUCUCAGUAUUUAUUUGCCAAGCUUUCAUCAAGUAAGAAUCGUCUGUUAAAUUUUCAUAUAUAACAAGGAGUAGCUCUCGGUAGUCGAUAAAAAGGCCUCUCUGAAUGAGGACCGGGACAGUUGCUUUCUAUGCUUUGUAGCCCAACACAAAAACUGCAAGGUCUUAUCUUUAACAUGAUGACUGGAUUUGAUUUUAUAUAUUAUAUUUUAAGAUUUCUUGUUGGUCAAGUUUACUUUUUAAUUAACUAGUAAUCAUUCUACAUCACCAUUUGUAAGCAAAGUAAUGGCCGCCUAGGAUACGAUGUAUCGUUGUCAUGGUAACAAAUGGUUACCACAACAGCUGUGAUAUUGUAAUAUUACGAUUGAAUUAAUAUUAUGUAUAUGUGCAAUUUAUGUCUGUCGAUAAUAAAACGUUUAUUAUCACC
rnacentral:misc_RNA from 1 species